GUUCAGGUUGCCAUGUUUGUGGAAAUUCCGGAAAUCAGGCAGGGGAGCUAGCGGUGCUUUUCCCUUUGCCUUUUAGCUUUCCUGGAUAGUUCUGCCUGUUAACUUCAAGCGGGACCAGCCAAAGGUUUCGAUGGCAUGGACCCGAUGACGUCCAAGCGGGUGACAGAGUGAUGGUCUAAGGACUCGCCGUCUCAGAGGUGCUCGCGCGUGGAAUGUUGCGCUGGUCGGUGCACCUUGAAGGAGGGCCGCGGCGAGUCAACCAUGCUGCUGUGGCCGUGGGUCACAAGGUGUACUCCUUUGGAGGCUACUGCUCCGGGGAGGACUAUGAGACACUUCGUCAAAUUGAUGUGCAUGUCUUUAAUACCGUGUCGCUGCGUUGGACUAAAUUGCCUCCAGUGAAGACCGUAGCGCACCAGCGUGCCCGCGAGGUGCCCUACAUGCGUUAUGGCCACACAGCUGUGCUGUUGGAAGACACCAUCUUCCUCUGGGGCGGGCGGAACGACACAGAGGGGGCCUGCAAUGUGCUGUAUGCCUUUGAUGUCAACACACACAGAUGGUACACGCCCAAGGUUUCAGGGACCGUUCCUGGAGCCAGAGACGGCCACUCGGCCUGCGUCUUGGGAAAGUCCAUGUAUAUAUUUGGAGGUUAUGAGCAGCUGGCUGACUGCUUCUCCAAUGAUAUUCACAAGCUGGACACCACCGCCAUGGUUUGGUCAUUGAUAAAUGCCAAAGGUUCUCCAGCUCGAUGGAGAGACUUCCACUCAGCCACCAUCAUAGGAGCAAAAAUGUUUGUUUUCGGAGGGAGGGCGGACCGCUUCGGCCCUUUCCACUCCAACAAUGAGAUUUACUGCAACAAGAUCAAAGUGUUCGACACGGAGACCAACUGCUGGCUGAGCACCCCCACCACGCAGCCCUCUCCAGAGGGACGCAGGAGUCACUCGGCAUUUUGCUACAAAGGGGAGCUCUACAUUUUCGGAGGAUACAACGCCCGUCUGGACCGGCACUUCAACGAUCUCUGGAAAUUCAAUCCAGAGGCCUUCAUGUGGAAGAAAAUCGAGCCGAAAGGCAAAGGUCCGUGCUCACGGAGGCGACAGUGUUGUUGUAUGGUUGGAGAUCGAAUCAUCCUGUUUGGAGGAACCAGUUCCAGGGCUGCGGUUCUCCAGUUUGGAGAUAAGACGGAGCAGACCGUCCAUUGCUGGCAAUUAGCCCCUGUCCAGAGCAAGGAAUGGGAGACGAAUUUAACCUCAUAGAUCAUUCAGACUUGUAUAUUUUAGAUUUCUGCCCUAAUUUGAAGACGUUAUGCAAAAUAGCUGUUAUUCAGUACAGUCUGGAGCAGUCAGGACUCCCACAUGAUAUCAGGUGGGAGCUGGCUGCCAUGACGACCAACAGCAACAUCAGCAGACCCAUCUUCUCCUCACACGGGUGACAAAGUCAAAGCAGGUCUCUUUGGUUUUUAGGCAAAUGAACUUUAAGGGCGACUGUCCGCCGCUGCUCCGGGUCUCAUUUUCUGUCCAACGUCCUUCACAUCAAAACGUCUCGCUGACCAAACGUCACGACUUCCUCCGUGGCCCCUCGCCACGCCUGAAGGUGGUUCCUACAUCAAAACCGCUCUUUCCAGCCUCUGCAGAGAUCUAAUCAGCCUAGGAUAAUCAGAGACGAGGCGGGACGUGAAGCCAAAGCUCUCAAGGAGAAUCAUCAAGAUGUCCACCUCCAUGAAGACUGUUGUCCAUCUUCUGCUGCAGAGACUGGUCUGUGUUUGAUCCCCAUCCCUAAAACCUCCCAGAACCUCAUCCCAUCAUGGAAGACACGCCGCUGCUCUGGACUUUACGGCGACUCGCUGCCUGCCUUGUCAAAGACUCGAGGCCAUCUACCUCCCUGGAGCACCCGUCACCGGAUCUGUGGCCCCUCCCACAUUUUGAACACCUGAACACCACGGAGACGGUUCCUCCGAUGCAGAACGCUGCAGCUUCAUCACUUUUGUCACGCUGCGAGUUUUACUGUCAGUGCCAAAAAUAGCAAAUGUGGAGGAGAGUGUGAAGUGUGCCCAAGUUUAGCUCCUUUAGUUAGAAAAUCCAUCACAUGUAAUCAUUUUAUAAUAGACAAUCCCACAGAGCCCGUUUACUGGCUGAACGACUGAAGAAACGGCUUUGGUUACGCGUCUGCUCCAAGAAAACUAAAGCUGAAGAUGUUCUUAAGGGCUGGUGUCUCAUAAAACCCCAAAUGUGGAAGUUUUUUCAGGUAAAGAUGCUGUUAAAAACGACCGUUGUUGCAUUUUAUAGAAAUUGUGACCUUCAGGACUUUGCACUGGCAGCUUUGAUUUGAAACGUUUCCCUCAGAGACUCUGGAUGCAGUCAGAUGGAAGCUAAAGGGGUUUUUUUUUGUUGCUUUGAUCCUUCUGGGCUUUAGAGACGAGAGCGGAUCUGAACCCAAAACAGAAACCCAGAUGAGACCGGGGGACUUUUCAGAGCAGACCACUCUCUGGGAUUCGAACCACAUACUCGUGAACUUGGCCUGCAGUCAGCUUUGGGGACCCAAAUGUCCUUCCACUCUCUGGAACAGUCAGCAGGACUCCUCCCGAACAUCAGGAUCUCAUCACUGAUCAGUGUUUACUAAACAGAGGGAGGGGAAGUGAUGCGUUCAUGGCGGCGGGCGCCGACCGCUGCACAUCCGGCCUUUUGGCACAUCAGAGACUUUUGACUCAGGAGUUUGACCCCAGAAGUAGGAGCUCUGGUGAGGACCGUUCAGGAUUUUCCUCCUCGCAGAGAGAAUGUUUAGCAGAAAGCAGAUCCUCACCGACUGGCUUCAGAAAGAUCCUCUUCCUAAAGCUCUCCGUGGAUUUUCAGUUCUUGAUCCCCAUGACGAGUUUCUGCAGCUUCACGUUCACGAGAACCAAAAACCACAUCUGUAGAGGAAGGCAGACGAAUGCAUCCGUGACUUCAUGGAUUCUUCUCUGGUUUCUGUUUCUUUUGAAGGCGUUUGGGCUACUGAUGACAUCACCCAAAGGGGAGUUCUGUUGAAUAAAGUUGGUCCGGACUUUCUGUGCAAUAUUCUUUUUAUGCUGUAUCAAUAAAAAACCUGCAACAUCUGAA